GAUGAACGCUGGCGGCGUGCCUAAUACAUGCAAGUCGAGCGGACCAAAGAGAGCUUGCUCUCUGAGGUUAGCGGCGGACGGGUGAGUAACACGUGGGUAACCUGCCUGUAAGACGGGGAUAACUUCGGGAAACCGAAGCUAAUACCGGAUGAUAAAGAGAAACGCCUGUUUCUUUUUUGAAAGUCGGCCUUGUGCUGACGCUUACAGAUGGGCCCGCGGCGCAUUAGCUAGUUGGUGAGGUAACGGCUCACCAAGGCGACGAUGCGUAGCCGACCUGAGAGGGUGAUCGGCCAAACUGGGACUGAGACACGGCCCAGACUCCUACGGGAGGCAGCAGUAGGGAAUCUUCGGCAAUGGACGAAAGUCUGACCGAGCAACGCCGCGUGAGCGAUGAAGGCCUUCGGGUCGUAAAGCUCUGUUGUCAGAGAAGAACAAGUACCGGAGUAACUGCCGGUACCUUGACGGUACCUGACCAGAAAGCCACGGCUAACUACGUGCCAGCCGCCGCCGUAACAC
rnacentral:rRNA from 1 species